UAUGCCUGUCACUCUCACUCUUCCGAAGUUAAUCAUAGUGAAACAGUGCAACACGUCGAAACUCUGAAAUAGGAAGUGAGGAAGAUGCUUGUUCCUACCCAUGAGAAGCCCUCAAUCUCAAAAGUUGAAUUGAUUGAUUCAAUUCAACGCCUGGGUCUGAGAUAUCAUUUUGAAAGUGAAAUUGCAGAAAUGUUGCAACAAACUCACAAGCACUACGUUCAAAAUGGCCAAUUAAUUCAUGACUCAGAUCUAUGCUCUCUUGCUUUGCUUUUCAGAUUAUUGAGGCAAGAUGGAUAUCUCAUUUCACCUGAUGUAUUUAGUAAGUUCAAAGAUGGAGAAGGAAAGUUUAGUGAAAGAGUUAGCAACGAUAUGGAAGGAAUGCUGAAUUUAUACGAAGCUGCUCAUCUGAGUAUUCAUGGAGAAGAAAUCUUAGAUGAAGCAAUGGCUUUCACUUCCACUCAACUUCAGGCCAUCAUUAGGACUAUUGA